rnacentral:rRNA from 1 species
UACGAAGGGGGCUAGCGUUGCUCGGAAUCACUGGGCGUAAAGGGUGCGUAGGCGGGUCUUUAAGUCAGGGGUGAAAUCCUGGAGCUCAACUCCAGAACUGCCUUUGAUACUGAAGAUCUUGAGUUCGGGAGAGGUGAGUGGAACUGCGAGUGUAGAGGUGAAAUUCGUAGAUAUUCGCAAGAACACCCGUGGCGAAGGCGGCUCUCUGGAACGCAACUGACGCUGAGACGCGAAAGCGUGGGGAGCAAACAGG